UACGUAGGGCGCAAGCGUUGUCCGGAAUUAUUGGGCGUAAAGAGCUCGUAGGUGGUCUGUUACGUCUGCUGUGAAAACCCAGGGCUUAACCCUGGGCCUGCAGUGGAUACGGGCAGACUAGAGGUAGGUAGGGGAGAAUGGAAUUCCCGGUGUAGCGGUGAAAUGCGCAGAUAUCGGGAGGAACACCGGUGGCGAAGGCGGUUCUCUGGGCCUUACCUGACGCUGAGGAGCGAAAGCGUGGGGAGCGAACAGG
rnacentral:rRNA from 1 species